rnacentral:rRNA from 1 species
GGUAACGUCAAGACUCAGGGGUAUUAACCCUAAGCUUUUCUUCUCUACUGAAAGUGCUUUACAACCCGCAGGCCUUCUUCACACACGCGGCAUUGCUGGAUUAGGGUUGCCCCCAUUUGUCCAAUAUUCCCCA